rnacentral:rRNA from 1 species
CCUACGGGGGGCUGCAGUGAGGAAUAUUGGUCAAUGGACGAGAGUCUGAACCAGCCAAGUAGCGUGAAGGAUGACUGCCCUAUGGGUUGUAAACUUCUUUUAUAAAGGAAUAAAACGAGGCACGUGUGCCUUUUUGCAUGUACUUUAUGAAUAAGGAUCGGCUAACCCCGUGCCAGCAGCCGCGGUAAUACGGAGGGUCCGAGCGUUAUCCGGAUUUAUUGGGUUUAAAGGGAGCGUAGAUGGGUUGUUAAGUCAGUUGUGAAAGUUUGCGGCUCAACCGUAAAAUUGCAAUUGAUACUGGCAGUCUUGAGUACAGUUGAGGUAGGCGGAAUUCGUGGUGUAGCGGUGAAAUGCUUAGAUAUCACGAAGAACCCCGAUUGCGAAGGCAGCUUACUAAACUGUGACUGACAUUGAUGCUCGAAAGUGUGGGUAGCAAACAGGAUUAGAUACCCGGGUAGUC